rnacentral:rRNA from 1 species
UGGCUCUGCGGAGCAUGUGCACGCCUUCCAACAGUUCUUCAUACCCAUGUGCACUUUUUGUAGACUAAGAACAUCUCUCGAGAUGCACUCGGAUUUUUUUGAGAACUGCUGUGCAUUAUCAAAGCCAGCUGUUCUUGUGUUCUUAGCCCUACGUCUUUGCUAUUUCACCCCAUAAUGUAUGUAACAGAAUGUAGUUUGUGAAUGGGGCAGUUGUCCCUUUUGCACAUGAAAUACAACUUUCAACAACGGAUCUCUUGGCUCUUGCAUCGAUGAAGAACGCAGCGAAAUGCGAUAAGUAAUGUGAAUUGCAGAAUUCAGUGAAUCAUCGAAUCUUUGAACGCACCUUGCGCUCCUUGGUAUUCCGAGGAGCAUACCUGUUUGAGUGUCAUUUUACUUCUCAAACCAUGCAAGUGUUGUAUUGUUAUAAAUCAACCAUGUGUGGCUUUGGUGUUGGGACCUUGCUGGCCGUGAAAAUCACUCAGCUGUCCUGAAAUGCAUUAGCAAAGGCUCUUGAUGAUAGACUUUGUGGUGUGAUAAACAUCUACGCCCAAAGCCUUAUUAAAUGCAGUCUGGCUUCUAAUGGUCCCCAUGGACAAAUAAUGUACUCUCUGACCUCAAUCAGU